AUGUAUCAGAAUUUCCACAAGCUCCACAAAGGUGAGCAACUAAAGAACAAUUUGUGGGCAAUUGCUAGGGCUACAAACAACCCUGCAUACAAAAAAACAAUGCAAAAGAUGGAACAAGACAACAUUGAUGCAUACAAAUGGGUUGAGAAAUGGCCACCAAGAACCUGGAUUAAAGCAUUUUUUAACCCAUUUCCAAAGUGUGACAUUCUACUCAAUAACAUGUCCGAAGUUUUCAAUAGUUGGAUCUUGGAAUCUAGAAAACUACCCAUUAUGUCUAUGUUGGAUAGCAUCACUGACAAGAUCACAAGCAGAAUGUACAACAAGAAAAAGGAGGUGUCCAAUGAUAGAAAAUGGUGUAAAAAAUUGUGCCCAAAAAUACAAAAGAAGCUUGACAAGUUUACUGACUGCUUUCUGCAUGGUCCAAGGGGUUGGUCAGAAGGUUUUCAAGGUGUUGUCAAUGAACCAUUCCUAUAUAGUUGA
rnacentral:rRNA from 1 species